GAUGAAGAACGUAGCGAAAUGCGAUAAGUAGUGUGAAUUGCAGAAUUCAGUGAAUCAUCGAAUCUUUGAACGCACAUUGCGCCCCAUGGUAUUCCGUGGGGCAUGCCUGUUCGAGCGUCAUUUACCCCCUCAAGCUCCGCUUGGUGUUGGGCGUCUGUCCCGCUUCGCGCGCGGACUCGCCCCAAAGGUAUUGGCAGCGGUCGUGCCAGCUUCUCGCGCAGCACAUUGCGCUUCUCGAGGCACCGGUGGGCCCGCGUCCAUCAAGCUCACCCCCCCAGUUUGACCUCGGAUCAGGUAGGGAUAGCCGCUGAACUUAAGCAUAUCAAUAAGCGGAGGA
rnacentral:misc_RNA from 1 species